rnacentral:rRNA from 1 species
UGGGGAAUUUUGGACAAUGGGCGAAAGCCUGAUCCAGCAAUGCCGCGUGUGUGAAGAAGGCCUUCGGGUUGUAAAGCACUUUUGUCCGGAAAGAAAUGGCCCUGGUUAAUACCUGGGGUCGAUGACGGUACCGGAAGAAUAAGGACCGGCUAACUACGGGCCAGCAGCCGCGGCAAUACGAAGGGGCCAAGCGUUAAUCGGAAUUACUGGGCGUAAAGCGUGCGCAGGCGGGGGGGUAAGACCGGGGGG